rnacentral:rRNA from 1 species
UCUGGGACAAGCCCUGGAAACGGGGUCUAAUACCGGAUAAUACUUUCCCUCUCAUGGGGGAAGGUUAAAAGCUCCGGCGGUGAAGGAUGAGCCCGCGGCCUAUCAGCUAGUUGGUGGGGUAAUGGCCUACCAAGGCGACGACGGGUAGCCGGCCUGAGAGGGCGACCGGCCACACUGGGACUGAGACACGGCCCAGACUCCUACGGGAGGCAGCAGUGGGGAAUAUUGCACAAUGGGCGAAAGCCUGAUGCAGCGACGCCGCGUGAGGGAUGACGGCCUUCGGGUUGUAAACCUCUUUCAGCAGGGAAGAAGCGAAAGUGACGGUACCUGCAGAAGAAGCGCCGGCUAACUACGUGCCAGCAGCCGCGGUAAUACGUAGGGCGCAAGCGUUGUCCGGAAUUAUUGGGCGUAAAGAGCUCGUAGGCGGCUUGUUGCGUCGGUUGUGAAAGCCCGGGGCUUAACCCCGGGUCUGCAGUCGAUACGGGCAGGCUAGAGUGUGGUAGGGGAGAUCGGAAUUCCUGGUGUAGCGGUGAAAUGCGCAGAUAUCAGGAGGAACACCGGUGGCGAAGGCGGAUCUCUGGGCCAUUACUGACGCUGAGGAGCGAAAGCGUGGGGAGCGAACAGGAUUAGAUACCCUGGUAGUCCACGCCGUAAACGUUGGGAACUAGGUGUUGGCGACAUUCCACGUCGUCAGUGCCGCAGCUAACGCAUUAAGUUCCCCGCCUGG